rnacentral:rRNA from 1 species
GACGAACCGUGCAACGUUAUUCGGAAUCACUGGGCAUAAAGGGCGCGUAGGCGGCUUCACAAGUCGAGGGUGAAAUCCGGCAGCUUAACUGUCGCAGUGCCUUGAUACUGUGAAGCUCGAGGGAGGUAGGGGUCUGUGGAACUUCCGGUGGAGCGGUGAAAUGACGUUGAUAUCGGAAAGGAACGCCGGUGGCGAAAGCGAGCGGACUGGAUGUCUUCUGACGCUGAGGCGGCGAAAGCCCAGGGGGAAGCAAAGCGGGG